GCCAUUACGCCCGGCUCAUUUUUUGUAUUUUUAGUAGAGACGGGGUUUCACUGUAUUAGCCAGGAUGGUCUCCAUCUCCUGACCUCGUGAUCCUGACCUCGGCUUCCCAAAGUGCUGGGAUUACAGGCGUGAGCCACUGCGCCCGGCAGCAAUAUGAAGUUCUAAAAGCAAGUCUUAAUCAGGAAGUGUCCUUGAUCACCAACUGCUUGCCCAGGCACGCUGGCUCUCUUACACUUCCACCUCCCACCAUGGGAUGACACAGUAAGAAGGCCGUCAGUAGAUGCCAGUCCCUCAGCCUUGAACCUUCCAGACUCAGAACUUUAUACCUCCAUUUUCCUCUGCUGCGUGGCCCCAGGAGAGAUUUUAAUUAGCUUUCUAACCUUGGUCCAGAUUGCACAUGCAAAGGGUAGAGGAUGCAACACCCCCGCUUGUGGAGCUGCCACUUGUCUCUGGCAUGAAAAUUCACGAGAAGAGAGGAAAUACUGAGGAGAAAAUGGCAGAUUGUGUUUGCUGACUUUUAUUGACAAAGAAGUCACCAUGAAAAUCACAGUGAACCAUUUGGAAAGCAAACUGCCAAAAAAUAAUAGUUAGUCAUGCUCUCAGGCUGGUAAUUGAAAGUUUUGUUCAAAUUGUAUUUAAUGUUCAAUAAUUGUUUAACCAUACCACUGCUUAUCUUGGGAAUGCUGAUACCAUGGAGACGAUAAGAUAAGGUGGCUGCUGAAAAUCAGAUUUAGACCCUACUUUGAUUACAUUUUUUUUUGUAUAUCCCAUGAAGGUAUUAUAUGUUAGUGAUUGUUCUAUGCUUAAUAUUUACAUAGCAACAAAGAGUAAAUGAACAGCAAUUUAUACAUGUUAUAUUGUUGACCUAUGCUAAAAGUUAGUUACCGUAAUGAAAUGGUUUGGCUGUGUCCCCACCCAAAUCUCAUCUUGAACUGUAAUCCCAUAAUCCCCCUGUGUCCUGGUGCUGGACCCAGUGGGAGGUAAUUGAAUACAGGGGCAGUGUCUCCCCCGCUGUUCUCAUGAUAGUGAGUUCUCAUGGGAUCUGAUGGUUUUAUAAGUGUCUGGCAUUUCCCUGCUUGUACUCAAUCUCUCGCCUGCCACCCUGUGAAAAGUGCCUUCUGACAUGAUUGUAAGUUUCCUGAGGCCUCCCCAACCAUGUGAAACUGUGAGUCAAUUAAACCUCUUUUCUUUGUAAGUUACCCACUCUGAAGUAUUUCUUCACAGUAGCGUGAUAACUGAAUAAUACACGUAACAAUUAUAUGAACAAAUUAUAACAAGUUUGAGAUACAUCAGGUUUAAAUUAAGGAAAAAUGUUUAAAGAAUUUUCCUCCUCAAUGUGUCUUAGGGUCGAAGAGGCGUUUUUGUUUGUUUAUGAAUAGGUCCUGUUUGCAAAAGGCUCUCAAAGGUAAAACAUAGGCUUUAACAUUCUGAGGCCAAGGAUGGAGCUGCGUCUGAUUUAUAAAGUUUCAGACGCAGUAGACAAAUUGUAGACCAAUUGACAUGAGAAACUAGUCUUCCUCUGAGGCUGGUAAAGCUGCAGAUCAGCAAACACUCAGACUUGGUACAGAGAAACAGACUGAUUUAGAAAACAUUCUCCCAUUAGCCUUUGGUAUACUUCAAUUACCUGGGAUAGAGUGAUUUCUGUGAUUUCUAAACCUUCUGUCCUACUCAUCUCACAGGCCAUAUCCAUUCUCAGAACUCAUGCUUUCCUUUAUUGUAGCCUCUGUUCUACGACUCCUCUAAUACAUUUUUAUUAGGAGCGUCAUUGAGAUAUAAUUUAUAUCCCGUAACAUUCACAUUUGAAAUGUGGCAUCCAGUGUUUUUCAAUGUAGUCACAGACUUAUGCAACUAUCACAUCUAAUUUUAGAAUAUUUUCACCGCCCUCUGAAAAAAACUAAAUAACAAUUAGCAGUAGCUCCCCAUUUCUUUUCUCUGCCAAACCACUAGCAACCAUUAAUCUAUUUUCUGUCUUUAGCCAUUUGCCAUUCUGAACAUUUAAUACAAAUAUGAUCAUUUAAUAUGUGGUUAUUUGUUAGUUUGUUUCUUUUUAAAAUAUGGUCUUUUUGACUGGCUUCUUUCACUUUGCAUAAUGUUUUCAAGGUUCAUCCAGAUUUUAGCAGAUACACGUACUUCAUUCCUUUUUUAUGCCUGAAUGAUAUUUUGUGGUAUUUUUUGCUGUUAUGAAUAAUUCACUGUUUGGCCGCCGUAAAUAUGCACGUAUAAGUCUUUUUGGGGACAUGAUUUUAUUUUGGAGGAUAUAUACCUACAUGUUGAAAUAUUGGUUCAUAUAAUAAACCUGUGUUUAAAUAUUUGAGGAACACUUCUUGAAGGUAUUGUUUGUGACACAAAUCUAUUAUGCAUAUAUGUAUGUAUUUACAUUGAUUAUGCUUUUGGUGUAGUAUCUAUCAAAGGUUAUGAAGAUUUACUGUUAUAUUUUCUUCUAAGAAUUUACAAUUUUACCUCUUACAUUUGUCUCUGUGAUUCAUUUUUCAGUUAAUUCUUGUGUAUGGUGUGAGGUAGGAGGAUAAUUUCAUUCUUUUUUGUGCGACAAUUCAGUUUUCCCAGAACUAUUUAUUGACAAGUCAAUAAAGUGAAUUGUAGCAUAGAAAAUAUUGCGUUGAAUUAUCUUGGCACCUGUAUGUAUCAAAAGUCAGUUGAUCAUAAAUGUAAGAAUUUAUUUCUGGAACCUUAUUUCUAUUCCAUUAGUUGAUAUAUUUCUCCUUGUGUUAGUACCAUAAUGUCUUAAUUGCUAUAGCAUUGUAUUAAGUUUUGAAACAGGGUAGUAUAUGUCCUUCACCUUUGUUCUUUCUUGCCAGGUUAUUUUGGCUGUUGUGGGUUUCUUGCAUUUCCAGAUGAUUGCAAAGAGCUGUUUCUCAAUUUCUGCAACAAAUGCCAGCUGAAAUUUUGCUACCAGUUUCAUUAAACAUGUAGAACAAUUUGGUAAGCAUUAUCAACUUUACCCCAUGAACACCAUAUUUUGUAGUCUCUAAUUUCUCUUAAAACAAACAGCCCCCAAUCUGUGCCCCCAAAAUUGUCAAAUACAGUCCAGCAUCUUCAUUUAUACAAAAGAAAAGAAAUUCUUUUGCAUCAUGCUAAGAACCGGACCCAGCUCUGAAUCAAACUGUGAUAUGCAAUGUAGGCCUGAAUAAAAUACUCAGCUGCUCACGUCAGACUGUCCCCAAUGAGGUCAACAGUGACUUCACAGUUUUCCUGAUUUCACAAGCAAAAUGGUUGUGUAUGUGAUUUCCAUUAAUUUAGUUCAAGAGUGCAUUCAACUCAUUUUCUCAGAAAAAAAAAGCAACAAAAAAACCAUUUUUUUCCCCAGAAUAAUAUGGAAUCAUCUACUUCUAGUAAGACACCAUGCCUGACAAUUUUUCCCAUUUCUACACUUUCAAGAUGCAAAAUUUUGGUUUUAUUUUAACAUAUACAAAAACCAUAAAUGCUUUUAAAAUAUAGAAAAUAUUUUUGCUAUGUAAGGACCAAUAAUUACUACAUGCCAAUAUAGUACCACAACCAUUAAAUACACAUGAGAAAAUUCAUGAUAUAAUCAUUUCACACUCCUUUCUUCUAUGUACCACCAUAGGUACCACCAUAGGUAGAAGAACAUUUAUUUCAACUAGCUUAAUACUUUUAUGUAAAGUAAACCAUAAAGGAAAUUGAAACCAAAA
rnacentral:lncRNA from 1 species